rnacentral:rRNA from 1 species
CCUACGGGUGGCAGCAGUGAGGAAUAUUGGUCAAUGGCCGGAAGGCUGAACCAGCCAAGCCGCGUGAAGGACGAAGGUGCCAAGCAUUGUAAACUUCUUUUGUCAAGGGACAAAAUCAGGCUCGAGAGCCUGACCGAGGGUACUUGAAGAAAAAGCAUCGGCUCACUCCGUGCCCGCAGCCGAGGUAAUACGGGGGAUGGUAGCGUUAUACUGAUUUAUUGUGUUUAAAGGGUGCGUAGGCGGGAUGUUAGGUCAGCGGGAAAAGCCCGGGGCUCAACCCCGGCGCGCCGUUGAAACUGGCUGUCUUGAGAUGUCGAGAGGUAGGCGGAAUGCGCAGUGUAGGGGUGAAAUGCUUAGAUAUUGCGCAGAACUCCGAUUGCGAAGGCAGCAUACCGGCGGCGAUCUGACGCUGAGGCACGAAAGCGUGGGUAUCGAACAGGAUUAGAUACCCCAGUAGUC